AAAUUGAAGAGUUUGAUCAUGGCUCAGAUUGAACGCUGGCGGCAGGCCUAACACAUGCAAGUCGAACGGUAACAGGAAGCAGCUUGCUGCUUCGCUGACAAGUGGCGGACGGGUGAGUAAUGUCUGGGAAACUGCCUGAUGGAGGGGGAUAACUACUGGAAACGGUGGCUAAUACCGCAUGACGUCGCAAGACCAAAGAGGGGGACCUUCGGGCCUCUUGCCAUCAGAUGUGCCCAGAUGGGAUUAGCUUGUUGGUGAGGUAACGGCUCACCAAGGCGACGAUCCCUAGCUGGUCUGAGAGGAUGACCAGCCACACUGGAACUGAGACACGGUCCAGACUCCUACGGGAGGCAGCAGUGGGGAAUAUUGCACAAUGGGCGCAAGCCUGAUGCAGCCAUGCCGCGUGUAUGAAGAAGGCCUUCGGGUUGUAAAGUACUUUCAGCGGGGAGGAAGGUGUUGUGGUUAAUA
rnacentral:rRNA from 1 species